rnacentral:lncRNA from 1 species
UACGUUAGAUAAAAUUAUUUAAUAGAAUUAAAUAAAAAUGUUAAUUUAUAUAUAUAUCUCUUGCUGUUUGAAGAGAGAGAAGAGAAAAUUAAAUAAAAAUUAAAGUGAGAGAGAGCACUUUCAAACUUUCAAAUAUAGUAUAUUUUACUCAUAAUGUAGAAAAAUAAAAUUAAAGAUCUUUGAAAAUAUAUAGUUAUUAAAUUCAAUUUUAAAAUUAUUUUAAAUAUCUAUAUCUUCUAUAUGGAGGAAGUGAAAAAAGAGAGCAUUAAAUUAAAAAUUAAACUAAGGGAGAGAGAAAAACGGCAUGCACAUUUCUCGAUUAGAGAGAAAAAGUAUGAACAUUAAAUUAAAUAAAAAUUAAGUAAGAGAGAAAGUACAGUAGGGAUUUAAAAUUCUAAUUUUUGAAGUUGAAAAUUUGGGAAUAAAUAUUAUAAAUUUUAAAAUUGUAAAAUUUAAAUUUUGAAAUUUGAAAUUUGGAAUUUAAAAUUUUGAUGUCCAAAAUUUAAAAUUUUAGAAUAUAAAAUUUUAAAAUUCUAUAUAUAUAAAGAGAGAGAGAGAGAAGAGAGAGAGAGAGAGAGAGAGAGAGAGAGUCCGGCUACUUUACUCUUAUAAGUAUGAUCGCCCUCGUACUCAUAAGUUGUUUUUAAUGAUAGAGUUUUCGAAUCGACAAUCCAUACUGCUAAAUAUUAUCUAGAGCAUUUAAAACUUGUAGAAAUCAAAUUUCAUAAUUUUUCAACAUUAUUUAUCUUACCAUCAAAAGGUCACAAAAUUGUCAAUUUUUAACGAUCGGUAUGAGAUACUUGCUAGUUUAACGGUGCAAUAGAAUUAGAAUAGGUUAAAUUUUUGAUAAAAAAAUUCUAUUCACUACUUAGAUAAAGAUCAAUAACUCUGAUCUUACACUAAAUGAUCUGAUCAUCCAUUUUUAGGUCGUUAUUCGAUUUUGAUCAUUUAUUUUAUGCCCGCUUGAUGAUUUUAUUAUAAUUUCGAAAAAUUACGAAAUUUACUUUUUAGAAGUUUCAAAUAUUUUAGAUCAUAUUUAACAGAAUGGAGAGAGAGAGAGAGAGAGAGAGAGCGCUAGGCUAGUAUACUAUCAGAAGCACCGAGGCCUUUGUGCUACCAAGUUGUUAUCAAUGAUGCAGCUUUCAAAUCGACGAUCAAUUUCGUUAGACUUGAGCUACACUAUUAAAAGUAUUUAGAAAGUAAAUUUUAUAAUUUUUCGACAUCAUUUGGCUAAUGAUCAAAAAGUCUCAAAAUUGACAAUUUUAAUGAUCGAUAUGAUACGUUUGUGAAUUUAACGGUAUAAAAUAAUUUAAAUCUGAUGAAUUUUUUAUUGAAAAUUCUUUUCACUAUUUAGAGUAAAGGUGUAUUUGGUUCGCUCUUUUUCACUCUAGAUCGGAAUCGGAAUGGGCGAAUUCGUUUGUGGGUAUUUGGUAUGCGGGAGUCGCAUUCCCAUUCUGAUUUCGUUUGCUGAGUGGAAUAGGAAUCCCCCAAUCAUCUUUUUUUCCAAUCCAGCCUAGGAGGCUGGAUUGGAAGUUGAAUUCGGACGGAAUGGAUAUUUAUUCAGAUUAAAUUUAUUUUUUCAACUUUUUUAAUUAAAAAAUGAGUUUAAAUUUAGAAAUUAAAUUUAUAAUUUUAAAUUUUAUUUUGNCAGCUUUCAAAUCAACGAUCAGUUUCAUUAGACUUGAUCUACACUAUUAAAAGUAUUUGGAAAGUAAAUUUCAUAAUUUUUCGACAUCAUUUGGCUAGUGAUCAAAAAGUCUCAAAAUUGACAAUUUUAAUGAUCGAUAUGAUACGUUUGUGAAUUUAACGGUAUAAAACAAUCCAAAUCCGAUGAAUUUUUUAAGAAAAUUCUUUUCACUAUUUAGAGUAAGGGUGUAUUUAGUUCGCUCUUUUUCACUCUGGAUCGAAAUCGGAAUGGG